GACGAACGCUGGCGGCGUGCUUAACACAUGCAAGUCGAACGGAAAGGCCCUGCUUGCAGGGUACUCGAGUGGCGAACGGGUGAGUAACACGUGGGUGAUCUGCCCUGCACGUCGGGAUAAGCCUGGGAAACUGGGUCUAAUACCGGGUAGGCGCCAUUUUUAUUGUGAUGGUUGGAAAGUUUUUUCGGUGGAGGAUGAGCUCGCGGCCUAUUAGCUUGUUGGUGGGGUAAUGGCAUACCAAGGCGGCGACGGGUAGCCGGCCUGAGAGGGUGGACGGGCAAAUGGGGACUGGGAGACGGCCCAGACUCCUACGGGAGGCAGCAGGGGGGAGUAUUGCUAAAUGGGCGCAAGCCUGAUGCAGCGCCGCCGCGUGGGUGAUGACGGCCUUCGGGUUGUGAUCUCCUUUCGCUAGGGACGAAGCUUUUUGUGACGGUACUUAGAUAAGAAGCACCGGCUAGCUACGUG
rnacentral:rRNA from 1 species